AGAAACUUAGGAUAAUACAAACCAAGGGCCUUCAAAGCCCAAAACAGAGAUGAAACCCCUCUAGUUUCUG
rnacentral:tRNA from 1 species